ACGACUACAUAUCAGGCAUAUCAAUAAGCGGAGGAAAAGAAACUAACAAGGAUUCCCCUAGUAACGGCGAGUGAAGCGGGAAGAGCUCAAAUUUGAAAUCUUCAAGGGUUUCCCUUGACGAAUUGUAGUUUAUAGAAGUGUUUUCUGUUAGAGAGGUGGUAAAAGCUCUUUGGAAUAGGACAUCAUAGAGGGUGAGAAUCCCGUAUUUGACCAUUUCUUCCAGCUGUGUGAUACACUUUCAAAGAGUCGGAUUGUUUGGGAAUGCAGUCCAAAAUGGGUGGUAAAUUUCAUCUAAAGCUAAAUAUUGGCGAGAGACCGAUAGCGAACAAGUACCGUGAGGGAAAGAUGAAAAGAACUUUGAAAAGAGAGUUAAACAGUACGUGAAAUUGUCAAAAGGGAAGCGUUUGACACCAGUGUUGUUUUCUCGAAAAUCAAUUAAAAAUGGCCGGAUUUUGUGUUGUAUUGACUUUAUCAGCUUUCUGCACUUUUUUCUUGUCUUUUUUAAUGCACUUUUCGCUUAACAAGUCAACAUCAAUUUCUUUUGUUGUAAAAGAGUCAUUGGAAGGUGGCUUUUCACUUCGGUGAAAGUGUUUAUAGCCUUGUGCCUCUGCAAUCGGAGAGAUUGAGGUCUGCAGCGUAGAUCCUUCGGGGUUAGAUACGUUUGUGCUAAGUUAUAGCUUUUCAUAGACAACUUGUUGACUAUGUUUUGUCUUGUAGCUUACUCGCUGACGCUAUUUUACCUACGCUUAGGAUGUUGAUCUCUCACAGUCGAGC
rnacentral:rRNA from 1 species